GACGAACGCUGGCGGCGUGCUUAACACAUGCAAGUCGAACGGACAGGCCCGGCUGUUGUGCGGUCGUCGAGUGGCGAACGGGGGAGUAACACGUGUGUACCCUGUCCCUCCCUUAGGGAGAAAUUAAUGAAACUGGGGCUCUUACCGGGUAGGAUCUCUUGCUGCAGGGUGGGCGUUCGUUAGUUUCGGCGGUUGGGGGUGGACUGGCGGCCUACGUGCUUGUUGGGGGGGUAGUGGCAGACCAAGGUUUUGAAGGGUAGCCGGCCUGGGAGGGUGACCGGCCACAAUGGGACUGCGAUACGGCCCAGACUCCUAUGGUACGCAGCGGUGGGGAAUAUUGCACAAUGGGCGGAAGCCUGAUGUGACAACGCCGCGUGCGGGAAGAGGGGCUUCGGGUUGUAAACUACUGUCGCCUGAGACGAGGCGUUAGUGACGGUAAUGAGUGAAGAAGCACCGGCUAACUACGUG
rnacentral:rRNA from 1 species